UACGAAGGGGGCUAGCGUUGCUCGGAAUUACUGGGCGUAAAGGGCGCGUAGGCGGCUCGACAAGUCCCGCGUGAAAGCCCCCGGCUCAACUGGGGAACUGCGCGGGAAACUGUCGGACUUGAGUUCGGGAGAGGGAAGCGGAAUUCCGGGUGUAGCGGUGAAAUGCGUAGAUAUCCGGAGGAACACCGGUGGCGAAGGCGGCUUCCUGGACCGACACUGACGCUGAGGCGCGAAAGCGUGGGGAGCAAACGGG
rnacentral:rRNA from 1 species